AAGGAUCAUUAUUGAAAGUGAGUCUUGGUUGUACUGUUGCUGGUCUUUUAACUAAGGCAUUGUGCACGUACUACUGGGGCACAACUCUUCAUCCACCUGUGCACUUUUUGUAGAAGUUCUUUUAGGUUGGCUUAUGGGUUUUUAACCUUGAAUUUAAUUUAAAAGGCUCCAAUGCCUAACAAACAAUUUAACCAGGUUAAAAAGGUUUUUUUAUUGGGACCUAAUUGACCCCUUAAAGUUAUACAACUUUCCACAACGGAACUCUUGGCUCCCCCCUCCAUGAAAAACCCAACCAAAUGCCAUAAAUAAUGGGAAUUGCAAAAUUCAGUGAAUCCUCCAAUCCUUGAACCCACCCUGCGCCCCCCGGGAUUCCCGAAGGCAUGCCCGUUUGAAUGGCAUUAAAUUCCCCACUUCCAUAAUUUUUAACUCCUUGAAACAUGGAAGUGGAAGUUUGCUGGCCUCCUAAAAGUUCCGCUCCCCCUAAAUGCAUUAAUGGGACCCCUUUAUUGGACCCUCCCUGGGGUGAAAAUUAACCACCCUUUGGUUAAUUCCAUGAACUCCACCUUGAGAAUCAAAGCAUUGUUUCUGGAUUGGGUUUUGCAUUAAAUUGCUUUACCUGUUUGUUCAAACACCUUUUGGGUGUUCUGGUUUGGGUGGUUGCAUUAGUUUUGCUCUACCUGGCUCAUUUAGAGUAGGGAAUAUCUGCUCUCUAACAGUCUGUGUAUACGGACAAAUAUUUUGACUCUUUGACCUCAAAUCAGGUAGGACUACCCGCUGAACUUAA
rnacentral:rRNA from 1 species